rnacentral:rRNA from 1 species
UGGGGAAUCUUGCACAAUGGGCGAAAGCCUGAUCCAGCAACGCCGCGUGGAGGAUGAAGGCCCUCGGGUCGUAAACUCCUGUCAGGUGGGACGAAAAGAUGUCGAUCAAUACCCGGCAUCCUUGACGGUACCACCGGAGGAGGCCCCGGCUAACUCCGUGCCAGCAGCCGCGGUAAUACGGAGGGGGCGAGCGUUAUUCGGAAUCAUUGGGCGUAAAGGGCGCGUAGGCGGCUUGGCAAGUCAGGGGUGAAAUCCCUCGGCUCAACCGAGGAACUGCCGCUGAAACUGUCGGGCUUGAGGCCGGGAGAGGGUAGUGGAAUUCCCAGUGUAGCGGUGAAAUGCGUAGAUAUUGGGAGGAACACCGGUGGCGAAGGCGGCUACCUGGACCGGUUCUGACGCUGAGGCGCGAAAGUGUGGGGAGCAAACAGGAUUAGAUACCCGUGUAGUCC